CAAUCGCGCCUGCUUCGCGGUGACCCGGCCUGCCCGGGUUGAAACGGGAAGCCGGUGACGGGCGCCGCGAUGCGGGCCCCAUUCCGGCACUGCCCCCGCAACGGUAAGCGUGUCCAAGCGUCGCCUCUCGCCACUGUGCCGUGCACGGGAAGGCGCGGCGCCGGGCCGGAAGGCCCACGCGCGAGUCCGGAGACCGGCCACGGAGUUCCACCUGAU
rnacentral:ncRNA from 2 species